rnacentral:rRNA from 1 species
GAUGUCUGAUUAGCUAGUUGGUGAGGUAAAGGCUUACCAAGGCGUCGAUCAGUAGCUGGUCUGAGAGGACGACCAGCCACACUGGGACUGAGACACGGCCCAGACUCCUACGGGAGGCAGCAGUGGGGAAUUUUGGACAAUGGGGGAAACCCUGAUCCAGCCAUGCCGCGUGAGUGAAGAAGGCCUUCGGGUUGUAAAGCUCUUUCAGCCGGAACGAAACGGUCACGGCUAAUACCUGUGACUACUGACGGUACCGGAAGAAGAAGCACCGGCUAACUACGUGCCAGCAGCCGCGGUAAUACGUAGGGUGCGAGCGUUAAUCGGAAUUACUGGGCGUAAAGCGUGCGCAGGCGGUUUUGUAAGUCAGAUGUGAAAUCCCCGGGCUUAACCUGGGAACUGCGUUUGAAACUACAAAGCUAGA